GGCUCUGACGGUCCGGUUCAGAAUCAUAAAAGUGUGGACAGCUUCAGUUUUCUGCAUCAUCCUGUUCACCAGCGGAGCCUUGAGAUCCUGCAGCGAUGCAAAGAUGACAAAAACAAUUGGUGCAUCAGCCGCAGGACUCCACUGUCAGACCUGCAGGG